UACGUAGGGACCAAGCGUUGUUCGGAUUUACUGGGCGUAAAGGGCGCGUAGGCGGCGCGGUAAGUCACUUGUGAAAUCUCUGAGCUUAACUCAGAACGGCCAAGUGAUACUGCAGUGCUAGAGUGUGGAAGGGGCAAUCGGAAUUCCUGGUGUAGCGGUGGAAUGCGCAGAUAUCAGGAGGAACACCGGUGGCGAAGGCGGGUCUCUGGGCAGUAACUGACGCUGAGGAGCGAAAGCGUGGGGAGCGAACAGG
rnacentral:rRNA from 1 species